rnacentral:rRNA from 1 species
CCUACGGGUGGCAGCAGUCGAGAAUCAUUCACAAUGGGGGAAACCCUGAUGGUGCGACGCCGCGUGGGGGAAUGAAGGUCUUCGGAUUGUAGACCCCCGUCAUGUGGGAGCAAAUUAAAAAGAUAGUACCACAAGAGGAAGAGACGGCUAACUCGGUGCCAGCAGCCGCGGGAAUACAGAGGUCUCAAGCGUUGUUCGGAAUCACUGGGCGUAAAGCGUGCGGAGGCGGUUUCGUAAGUCGUGUGUGAAAGGCGCGGGCUCAACCCGCGGACGGCACAUGAUACUGCGAGACUAGAGUAAUGGAGGGGGAACCGGAAUUCGCGGUGUAGCAGUGAAAUGCGUAGAUAUCGAGAGGAACACUCGUGGCGAAGGCGGGUUCCUGGACAUUAACUGACGCUGAGGCACGAAGGCCAGGGGAGCGAAAGGGAUUAGAUACCCCUGUAGUC